UACAGAGGCCUCGAGCGUUAGGCGGAAUUACUGGGCUUAAAGCGUGUGUAGGCGGACUUCUAAGUGCCUUGUGAAAUCCCACGGCUCACCCGUGGAACUGCUGGGCAUACUGGGAGUCUUGAGCCACCUAGGGGCGAGCGGAACAAAUGGUGGAGCGGUGAAAUGCGUAGAUAUCAUUUGGAACGCCAACGGAGAAAUCAGCUCGCUGGGGGUGUGCUGACGCUGAGACACGAAAGCCAGGGGAGCGAACGGG
rnacentral:rRNA from 1 species